rnacentral:rRNA from 1 species
AACGAACGCUGGCGGCGCGCCUAAUACAUGCAAGUCGAGCGAGAAGACGUAGCAAUACGUUUGUAAAGCGGCGAACGGGUGAGGAAUACAUGGGUAACCUACCCUCGAGUGGGGAAUAACUAGCCGAAAGGUUAGCUAAUACCGCGUACGCUCCUUGGACUUCGGUUCAUGGAGGAAAGCGAUACCGUGGGUAUCGCGCUCUUGGAUGGGCUCAUGUCCUAUCAGCUUGNGGUGAGGUAACGGCUCACCAAGGCUUCAACGGGUAGCUGGUCUGAGAGGACGAUCAGCCACACUGGCACUGCGACACGGGCCAGACUCCUACGGGAGGCAGCAGUAAGGAAUAUUGCGCAAUGGGCGAAAGCCUGACGCAGCGACGCCGCGUGGGGGAUGAAGGUCUUCGGAUUGUAACCCCUUUCGGGAGGGAAGAUGGAACGAGCAAUCGUUCGGACGGUACCUCCAGAAGCAGCCACGGCUAACUUCGUGCCAGCCGCCGCA